UACGAAGGGUGCAAGCGUUAAUCGGAAUUACUGGGCGUAAAGCGUGCGCAGGCGGUUUGGUAAGUCUGUUGUGAAAUCCCCGAGCUCAACUUGGGAAUUGCAAUGGAUACUGGCAGGCUGGAGUAUGGUAGAGGAAGGUGGAAUUCCCGGUGUAGCAGUGAAAUGCGUAGAGAUCGGGAGGAACACCAGUGGCGAAGGCGGCCUUCUGGACCAAUACUGACGCUCAUGCACGAAAGCGUGGGGAGCAAACAGG
rnacentral:rRNA from 1 species